rnacentral:rRNA from 1 species
CCUACGGGUUGCACCAGUGGGGAAUAUUGCACAAUGGGCGCAAGCCUGAUGCAGCCAUGCCGCGUGUAUGAAGAAGGCCUACGGGUUGUAAAGUACUUUCAGCGGGGAGGAAGGAGUUGUGGUUAAUAACCACAGCAAUUGACGUUACCCGCAGAAGAAGCACCGGCUAACUCCGUGCCAGCAGCCGCGGUAAUACGGAGGGUGCAAGUGUUAAUCGGAAUUACUGGGCGUAAAGCGCACGCAGGCGGUCUGUCAAGUCGGAUGUGAAAUCCCCGGGCUCAACCUGGGAACUGCAUUCGAAACUGGCAGGCUAGAGUCUUGUAGAGGGGGGUAGAAUUCCAGGUGUAGCGGUGAAAUGCGUAGAGAUCUGGAGGAAUACCGGUGGCGAAGGCGGCCCCCUGGACAAAGACUGACGCUCAGGUGCGAAAGCGUGGGGAGCAAACAGGAUUAGAUACCCGGGUAGUC